GACGGAGGGUGCUAGCGUUGUUCGGAUUUACUGGGCGUAAAGGGCGCGUAGGCGGCUAUUCAAGUUGGAUGUGAAAGCCCAGGGCUCAACCUUGGAACUGCAUUCAAAACUGGAUGGCUUGAGACCGAGAGAGGAAAGUGGAAUACCCAGUGUAGAGGUGAAAUUCGUAGAUAUUGGGUGGAACACCGGUGGCGAAAGCGGCUUUCUGGCUCGGAUCUGACGCUGAGGCGCGAAAGCGUGGGGAGCAAACAGG
rnacentral:rRNA from 1 species